GAUGAACGCUGGCGGUAUGCUUAACACAUGCAAGUCGAACGGUCACUUCGGUGAUAGUGGCGGACGGGUGAGUAACGCGUGAGAAUCUGUCUUCAGGUCGGGGACAACAGUUAGAAAUGACUGCUAAUACCGGAUGUGCCUUUGGGUGAAAGAUUUAUUGCCUGAAAAAGAGCUCGCGUCAGAUUAGCUAGUAGGUGGUGUAAGAGACUACCUAGGCUCCGAUCUGUAGCUGGUCUGAGAGGACGAUCAGCCACACUGGAACUGAGACACGGUCCAGACUCCUACGGGAGGCAGCAGUGGGGAAUUUUCCGCAAUGGGCGAAAGCCUGACGGAGCAAUACCGCGUGAGGGACGAAGGCUUUUGGGUCGUAAACCUCUUUUCUCAAGGAAGACGAUGACGGUACUUGAGGAAUAAGCAUCGGCUAACUCUGUG
rnacentral:rRNA from 1 species